rnacentral:rRNA from 1 species
CCCUUAGAUGUUCUGGGCCGCACGCGUGCUACACUGAGUAAUUCAAUGGGUAAGGGAACGCUAGAGCAUUACCUAAUCUUGAAAUUUGCUCGUGAUGGGGAUCGACGGUUGCAAUUUUCCGUCGUGAACGAGGAAUACCUUGUAGGCGCAUGUCAUCAUCAUGCGCCGAAUACGUCCCUGCCCUUUGUACACACCGCCCGUCGCUCCUACCGAUUGAGUGAUCCGAUGAAUACCAUGGAUUGAGAGUACGAAUAGGUUCGCUUAUUUCUGCUUCUCGAGAAGUGGAGUAAAUCUUAUCAUUUAGAGGAAGGAGAAGUCGUAACA